rnacentral:rRNA from 1 species
CACGUAGGGGGCAAGCGUUGUUCGGAAUUAUUGGGCGUAAAGAGCGUGUAGGCGGCCAGAUAAGUCCGCUGUGAAAUCUCGAGGCUCAACUUCGAGCUGUCGGUGGAAACUAUCUGGCUAGAGUCCGGAAGAGGAGAGUGGAAUUCCUGGUGUAGCGGUGAAAUGCGCAGAUAUCAGGAAGAACACCAAUGGCGAAGGCAGCUCUCUGGGACGGUACUGACGCUGAGACGCGAAAGCGUGGGGAGCGAACAGG